GACGAACGCUGGCGGCGUGCCUAAUACAUGCGAGUAGAACGCUGAAGGAGGAGCUUGCUUCUCCGGAUGAGUUGCGAACGGGUGAGUAACGCGUAGGUAACCUGCCUGGUAGCGGGGGAUAACUAUUGGAAACGAUAGCUAAUACCGCAUAAGAGUAGAUGUCGCAUGACAUUUGCUUAAAAGGUGCAACUGCACCACUACCAGAUGGACCUGCGUUGUAUUAGCUAGUUGGUGAGGUAACGGCUCACCAAGGCAACGAUACAUAGCCGACCUGAGAGGGUGAUCGGCCACACUGGGACUGAGACACGGCCCAGACUCCUACGGGAGGCAGCAGUAGGGAAUCUUCGGCAAUGGACGGAAGUCUGACCGAGCAACGCCGCGUGAGUGAAGAAGGUUUUCGGAUCGUAAAGCUCAGUUGUAAGAGAAGAACGAGUGUGAGAGUGGAAAGUUCACACUGUGACGGUAUCUUACCAGAAAGGGACGGCUAACUACGUG
rnacentral:rRNA from 1 species